rnacentral:rRNA from 1 species
UACGUAGGGGGCAAGCGUUGUCCGGAUUUACUGGGCGUAAAGAGCGCGUAGGCGGACGUUUAAGUGUGGCCUGAAAGCCCCCGGCUCAACUGGGGAGGGUCACGCGAUACUGCUCGACUUGAAGGCAGGAGAGGGAAGUGGAAUUCCCGGUGUAGUGGUGAAAUGCGUAGAUAUCGGGAGGAACACCAGUGGCGAAGGCGACUUCCUGGCCUGUUCUUGACGCUGAGGCGCGAAAGCUAGGGUAGCAAACGGG